UAAUACAUGCAAGUCGAGCGGACUUGCUGGAGCUUGCUCCAGCAGGUUAGCGGCGNNNGGGUGAGUAACACGUGGGCAACCUGCCUGUAAGACUGGGAUAACUCCGGGAAACCGGAGCUAAUACCGGAUAGUAUCUUGAACCGCAUGGUUCAAGUUGGAAAGACGGUUUCGGCUGUCACUUACAGAUGGGCCCGCGGCGCAUUAGCUAGUUGGUGAGGUAAUGGCUCACCAAGGCAACGAUGCGUAGCCGACCUGAGAGGGUGAUCGGCCACACUGGGACUGAGACACGGCCCAGACUCCUACGGGAGGCAGCAGUAGGGAAUCUUCCGCAAUGGACGAAAGUCUGACGGAGCAACGCCGCGUGAGUGAUGAAGGUUUUCGGAUCGUAAAACUCUGUUGUUAGGGAAGAACAAGUGCGAGAGUAACUGCUCGCACCUUGACGGUACCUAACCAGAAAGCCACGGCUAACUACGUGCCAGCAGCCGCGGUAAUACGUAGGUGGCAAGCGUUGUCCGGAAUUAUUGGGCGUAAAGCGCGCGCAGGCGGUUUCUUAAGUCUGAUGUGAAAGCCCCCGGCUCAACCGGGGAGGGUCAUUGGAAACUGGGAAACUUGAGUGCAGAAGAGGAGAGUGGAAUUCCACGUGUAGCGGUGAAAUGCGUAGAGAUGUGGAGGAACACCAGUGGCGAAGGCGACUCUCUGGUCUGUAACUGACGCUGAGGCGCGAAAGCGUGGGGAGCAAACAG
rnacentral:rRNA from 1 species